GGCGACGAGGGAACCCUGGAGUUCAUGAAUUUCUUCUACGAUGCACUUUCUGAAGGCAAGAAGGCCAGUGAAGCUCUCAAUCAGGCCAUGAAGUGUAUGAAAGAAAUUGAAAAUUUCAAGGAGGUUUGGCACUGGGCACCAUUUGUACUCAUUGGUGACGACGUCAACCUGGAUUUCGAGGAGAUUUAGGAGCUGCAGCAAUUAAGGCAGUUAGCAUUGGAAUCCUAGGGAGUUUUCGGAUACCUACAAAUGCUGAUAUUUGGACCACAAAACCAGUAAGCUACCGAUGAAACCUUUGUCAAGAGUCUUCUUUUCAAAGCAGGAAGAACCAAAAGACGGCCAAAGUCAAGUUUAACAAGAGAACAGAUUUUCAUUGAUUCAAAAGUUGCCUUUUUGCUUGUCUGAACUGCUUUUACGAGCUUAAUCUUUGACAUCCUUCUCAAACUACUGUUUGUUUGGUUUUUUUUUUGUUUUCAUAUGAUGUCUUAAAACUAUCAUGACUAACUAUGUGAGAAGUUAUUUUCAAUCUAAGUAUUUUCUACAGAGAGGAUUGGGACGUAACAUUUAUGUCGAAGUUGAAACGUCUUGGAAACGUUUUCCAGAGUUUUUUAAGUCUUUUUCUCAAUCGGUUUAAUCUCAUGAGUGGUAUAAAGUUAUUACAUUCAUGUGCGUGUGUAGAGAAUUUCCAUAGGAAUUGGAGAAUAAUCAGUUGUCCGAUUACUCGAUUGUCUUAGUCUAUGUCAGAUGGAAAUUGUGAUUCACUUUUCGAGGAUUUAUACUCAGUCAUUGGUACUUAAAGUUAGUUUCUGUCAAUCAGAAUUUGGUUUCUCUGGACUUAAAAUGACAGAUUUUGGCUGUAAUGGCAAAGAUUUACUCUUGGUACUAGUUAAUUUUCUGGGAUUUCUCCUUUAAUUUUGAAUGCGAUAAAUUGUGUUAUUUUUUACAAGCAGCACGAUGCAUUUUAAGUAUAUUGUUUAAACUAAUCGUCCAAUGGCAAAACGAGAAGUUUUAUUUUAUAAUUUUAGUUAUGGCUUACAAAGCAAGCUCAGAACGAGCUAGAAAGUUGAAGCCACAUGAUUUUAUUUAGCUUCUCCGAUUAGAUUGUUUACUUACUAUCUAAGUACAAUAAACUAACAUUUAAAUGUCAAA